rnacentral:ncRNA from 1 species
CAACCGCUGGCGUAUUGACGUGGAUGUUG